GCGAGACUCCGUCUAAAAAAAAAAGUAUGUCACAGGAUGGAAAAGAAAUACCCAUUUAUUUAUUGGGGAGUCCAGUAUACAAGAGGGUUUGGAGAAAGCAUGAGUCAGAAGUUGAGUUGUCUACUACCUAAAAAAAGGCUCAGGCACACUACAGAAAGCUUUCUACAAGAGAAAAAAAAAAAAAACAUAAAAUGAGGUUUUCAAAAUUCUGUUUUCUUUCAAAAUAUUUUGUAAAACAAUAUUCUUAACAUGAUAACAAUAUGGUAAUACCAUGUAAGAAAGGCAGACUUAAUCAAUUAAAAUUACUUUUGGCAGAGGGUGGAGAAAGAACUAUUAUUAAAUUGGCCAUUUAAGAUUAGAAGACAAUAGCUGAGCCAACUAACCAAACUGAAAUAUUAUCUCAUUCUCUGUGUUAUCAUUUUCAGUAGAUAAACUCCCUCUAAUAGAGGAAGUCCAGAUUGACAUGAAGGUGAAAAUAUUUGUUAAAAUCCAUAAGCUCAAUCUGAUUUUUUUUUUAAACCAAAGGAAAAUAUACUUCAUUGUUAAAAGCAUUUCUAGGUCUUUAAUUAGCUUCUUGUUAAAAUGAACUCACUUUAGUUUACUGGGUGGGGAGAGGGCUGCCUUAGAGUUUGGCCAGCCCCAACCCUGUCCCUCCCCGCCAAGGACAAAGCAGGGACCUUGUGUCUGAGGAUCAGGGGAAAUGGUUAAGAAGGAGAGGAAAAGAAAAUUGCUUUUCCAGCUUUUUCAACUUCCUAUGUAGCCUAUAGAGAAAAGCAAGAAUCCCUUUGGGAGGAAAUAACAAAAGUGCCAACAAUAGAUAGAUGUAUGAAGCCUGCAUCCCUGCAGUGUACUGGAGCUCUUACCCUUAUAAUGGCCUUUAUCGGAAGGCCAAAUGCACAUUUACUAUAAACUGGUCCUAUCUUCCUGGGAGCCUCUCCCCUUAAAGUCAUUCCUUGGCUCACUUCCUUCUUCUGCCAGAAAUAUCAAAGUCAGAGAAGGGGAUAAAAGCUGUAAAAGUCCAGCUGCCUUGUUUCCUUUUCCUAUGGCACAGUUGAGGUAGCCAGUUAGGUAACAGGUGUUCAUAAAAAGACCUCAAGAAACAGUUAAUUGAAGAGUGUCAGGUAAUAAGGUAAGCAAGCCUCUUACAAAAUCACUUGCCACUGUAUUAUGUCUAAAGGGCUCCACUUGAGCAGAAACCAAACCAAAAAAGGCUCUAAGAAAUUUACCUUAAAAUUCUGUCCGGAACCUUUUCAUUGAACAUAGGUUGAAUGUCUAAUAUGGGUUUGCCUAACCACACACUUUGAUUUGUCAAAUAUUUAAUUCCAACAAUACUUCAUGACCUCACUGUGCACUGCCAUCCACAUCUCCAAUAAUCACAAGCAUAGCAGGCAUUGAUGCCAUAGCUCUUAAUUGUCUUAGGAAUUAAGACAGGCGGCAUCAGUACCUGCUAAGCUUGUUGAUGAAAAGAAU
rnacentral:lncRNA from 1 species